CCAGGGAGCAGGUAACCUGUCAAAGGGCGGGGAUACCCAUGUGGCCUUUGACAGCUUGCCAAAACUGGGUAAGUGGUCCUCCACCCAAAAUAAUUGCCUGCCCCUAUUCAAGACUAAUUUCAUCCCUAGGGAGGUCAGAUAAGAUGCAGCCACAGGGAUGCUGAUAUUCCUUUUGAUAUCCCUCAGUUCUCCAUCACAGUCUUGCUAUACCUGUAGGAUCUCCUCCACUGAAAACCCAAUUCUCUCCUCCUGGCAGUGGGGAUGUCAGCUGAUGUCCUUCUCCAAGCAAUCAUCACUAAUGGUGUUAGAAGUGGUGAAUGAGACAGAACCUGAAGGAAUUUGAGAUUCUAAUGGAAUAAGAAGUUGGAAUCUGAGAGCAAGUGGAGCAACACUGCUGUGUGGAAGGACAAGGACCACUACUGCAAUUUUCCCCUGAAGAAAGGAAGAGAAGAAGGAGGUAACCUCAUAUGACUCAUACUGGCUCCAUCUCUUGGGGUACCACUGGAAGAUGUGCAGGCACGAUGAUGAGAAUGGUAUAAGAACGUGUGUAGAAUAAACAAGACUAGGAC